rnacentral:lncRNA from 1 species
CCCAUCCCCAUAUGUCCCAUCCCCAUAGAUCCCCAUCCCCAUAGGUCCCCAUCCCCAUAGAUCCCCAUAGAUCCCUAUAGUUCCCCAUAGAUCCCCAUCCCUGUAGGUCCCCAUAGAUCCCUAUAGUUCCCCAUAGAUCCCCAUCCCCGUAGGUCUCCAUAGAUCCCCAUAGGUCCCCAUCUCCAUAUGUCCCCAUCCCCAUAUGUCCUCAUCCCCAUAGAUCCCCAUAUGCCCCCACCCCCAUAGAUCCCCCCAUUCCCAUAGGUCCCCAUAGACCCCCAUAGUCCCCAUAGGUCCCUAUAGGUCCCCAUUCCCAUAUGCCCCCGUGCCCAUAGGUCCCCAUCUCCAUAGAUCCCCAUAUGCCCCCACCCCAUAGAUCCCCACCCCCAUAGAUCCCCAUCCCCAUAGAUCCCCAUAGAUCCCCACCCCCAUACGCCCCCACCCCCAUAUGUCCCUAUGGGAACACUGGGGCUCACCAAACCCCCAUGGGUGACACCCCCCCUUACCCCCCUCUCCUUCUGUCCCUAUACUGUCCCCAGAGAUCGAUGAGGACCGGCUCCCCAACGCUCUGCUGAAGUCGGGUCUGGCCAUGUCCCCCAGGCAGAGGAAGAAGGUUUACUGCACCACCCCCACCGUCAAAGAGCUGCAGAUGAUGGUGGAGCAUCACCUGUGCAAGCAGGCCAGGGGUGAGGAUGACGAUGAUGUUCCCAUUGGAGCCCAGGAGCUCAGCACAACCUGCUGCCACCACGGGGACCCCGAGCACAACCACAGCCCCGGGGGCAGCUGCCCAUUGACCCCAGCUCAACCCACAGCACAGGGCAGCCCAGAGCCUGGGGACAGGGAUGAGAGGCAAAGUGCGGGUGAGGAGGGCGCCCAUAUAGAACCAGGGGGAAAGGGAGCUGCUGGCUGCGUGUAGGUACGUGAUGGGGGGC